rnacentral:rRNA from 1 species
AUUGAACGCUAGCGGGAUGCUUUACACAUGCAAGUCGAACGGCAGCGCGGACUUCGGUCUGGCGGCGAGUGGCGAACGGGUGAGUAAUGUAUCGGAACGUGCCCAGUAGCGGGGGAUAACUACGCGAAAGCGUAGCUAAUACCGCAUACGCCCUACGGGGGAAAGCAGGGGAUCGUAAGACCUUGCACUAUUGGAGCGGCCGAUAUCGGAUUAGCUAGUUGGUGAGGUAACGGCUCACCAAGGCGACGAUCCGUAGCUGGUGUGAGAGGACGACCAGCCACACUGGGACUGAGACACGGCCCAGACUCCUACGGGAGGCAGCAGUGGGGAAUUUUGGACAAUGGGGGCAAACCUGAUCCAGCCAUCCCGCGUGUGCGAUGAAGGCCUUCGGGUUGUAAAGCACUUUUGGCAGGAAAGAAACGUCGCGGGCUAAUACCCCGUGGAACUGACGGUACCUGCAGAAUAAGCACCGGCUAACUACGUG